rnacentral:rRNA from 1 species
ACCGCCCUAAGCCUGCUUAUCCGCGCCGAACUAAGCCAACCUGGUGCACUACUGGGCGAUGACCAAAUCUACAAUGUUAUUGUUACUGCCCAUGCAUUUGUCAUAAUCUUCUUCAUGGUCAUGCCUGUAAUAAUUGGGGGCUUUGGCAACUGGCUUGUCCCAUUAAUAAUCGGCGCCCCAGACAUGGCCUUCCCACGAAUGAAUAACAUAAGCUUCUGAUUGCUCCCCCCCUCGUUACUUCUUCUCCUCGCCUCAUCUGGCGUUGAAGCAGGUGCAGGAACCGGUUGAACCGUAUACCCCCCCCUCGCCGCCAACCUGGCACAUGCAGGCGCAUCUGUAGACCUGGUCAUCUUUUCACUACACCUGGCAGGUGUUUCAUCAAUUCUAGGGGCUAUCAAUUUUAUCACCACCUGCAUUAACAUAAAAUCCCCCACCCUUUCACAAUACAACACGCCGCUGUUUGUGUGAUCUGUAAUAAUCACAGCAGUACUGCUGUUACUGGCUCUGCCAGUUCUCGCUGCCGGAAUCACCAUACUUUUGACAGACCGAAACCUCAAU